UAUAUUCAAAUUUUCCGAGCUUAGAUUUCUAAAGAAAGAAAUUCCAUGAAAUUUAAGACCAUGGGUAUAAAGGGAAACUUUUGUGCCUCCCACGUUUGGAAAGGAAGGUUUGAGUAUGUUUA
rnacentral:ncRNA from 2 species